ACUACAAGCGACCUUUUCCGCUUUAUUGAUUUCAUUUAAAGUACGAGCGUACACACAACAGCGGUCUCUUUGAAUAGUGUUUGUUUCUACUAAGGAAAAGUGAUUGGGGAUGUCAAAAAAAAAAAAAAAAAGUCGAUUUCGGUGGCGACUCAUAAUUUUCCUGCGUUACUAUGCACAGCAUUACGGCAGUGACAUGCGCGUGGUGGUAACCAUGGAGACCAGCCGCGGGACGCGGUAGUUUCGUGUUAACUAGACGCGAACAUUAAAAGGUAUUUUGGUUUAAUUACGGCGAUUAUAACUAAAUACGCUAAAUGUAAUUAAAUAAUACAACAUAUGAGUGAAAGGUGGGCGGAGUUUGAUUGACUGGCGUAAACACCAAACUAGCAUGGCACGUCUACGGGACACUAUAUUGUCAUUUAAGUCAUUUAAAGUGUGACAUUUAAUUUUUCUAAGUUCCCCCCAAUGCAUAGAGAAGUGUACAUACCUCAUCAUGGCUCCAAAGAAAAAGGGCAAAAAGGGACCCAAGUUGACCAAAAAAGAAAAGGCGAGGCUGAAGCAAGAGGAGGAGGAAAGAAGGCUACGAGAGGAAGAGGAGGCCCGCAUUCAAGCAGAGAGGGAAGAACAGGAGCGGCUGGAAAGACAAAGAAGGCAGGAGAUCUUGGACAGACUCGAGG